rnacentral:rRNA from 1 species
AAUCCAUAGGUUAAUGAGGCGAACCGGGGGAACUGAAACAUCUAAGUACCCCGAGGAAAAGAAAUCAACCGAGAUUCCCCCAGUAGCGGCGAGCGAACGGGGAGGAGCCCAGAGCCUGAAUCAGCAUGUGUGUUAGUGGAAGCGUCUGGAAAGGCGCGCGAUACAGGGUGACAGCCCCGUACACAAAAGCGCAUGUGCUGUGAGCUCGAUGAGUAGGGCGGGACACGUGGUAUCCUGUCUGAAUAUGGGGGGACCAUCCUCCAAGGCUAAAUACUCCUGACUGACCGAUAGUGAACCAGUACCGUGAGGGAAAGGCGAAAAGAACCCCGGCGAGGGGAGUGAAAAAGAACCUGAAACCGUGUACGUACAAGCAGUGGGAGCCCCACCACUAAGCCAGUGGUGAACUCCACAUACGCAUCCUUUGCUGAGGAUGCGGUUAACGGAGCGAAAGCGACGUUCAACCGCAAAAGAAGCAGAGGGGGCUUAGUGGUGGGGUGACUGCGUACCUUUUGUAUAAUGGGUCAGCGACUUAUAUUCUGUAGCAAGGUUAACCGAAUAGGGGAGCCGGAGGGAAACCGAGUCUUAAUUGGGCGUUAAGUUGCAGGGUAUAGACCCGAAACCCGGUGAUCUAGCCAUGGGCAGGUUGAAGGUUGGGUAACACUAACUGGAGGACCGAACCGACUAAUGUUGAAAAAUUAGCGGAUGACCUGUGGCUGGGGGUGAAAGGCCAAUCAAACCGGGAGAUAGCUGGUUCUCCCCGAAAGCUAUUUAGGUAGCGCCUCGUGAAUUCAUCUCCGG